rnacentral:rRNA from 1 species
UCGCUCUUCAACGAGGAAUCCCUAGUAAGCACAAGUCACCAGCUUGUGCUGAUUACGUCCCUGCCCUUUGUACACACCGCCCGUCGCUACUACCGAUUGAAUGGCUUAGUGAGGCCCUCGGAUCGACUUUCUGAGACUGGCAACAGUCUUUGAUUGUUGAGAAGUUGGUCAAACUUGGUCAUUUAGAGGAAGUAAAAGUCGUAACAAGGUUUCCGUAGGUGAACCUGCGGAAGGAUCAUUACUGAUUUAGCGAACCGAGGUUUUGCGAUCACUUGUAUUUAAAACCCAACUCAUAUAAAAUAUGUAUAUUUUUGAAAAAUAAAUUAAAGAUCACUUUCAACAACGGAUCUCUUGGCUCUCGCAUCGAUGAAGAACGUAGCGAAGUGCGAUAAGUAAUGUGAAUUGCAGAAUUCCGUGAAUCAUCGAAUCUUUGAACGCAUAUUGCACUUUCUGGUAUUCCGGAAAGUAUGCCUGUUUGAGGGUCAGUUAAAUAAAAAUCGGUGUUGUUGCUGCUAUUAGUGGUGAUGCAUCGGAAUUGAGUUGUUCUUUGCCCUUUGGUAUAAGUGACUUAAAAUUUGUACGAUUUUUGAACGUAUUUAAAUUAUUUACGUACGUUCAUAAUAAUCAUAUAUUAGGUGCGGUCAUUAUUAUGAUUUCGCGCCUAUAAUUUUUUCAUUAUUUGACCUCAAAUCAGGUAAGAAUACCCGCUGAACUUAAGCAUAUCAAUAAGCGGAGGAAAAGAAAAUAACAAUGAUUCCCUUAGUAACGGCGAGUGAAGGGGGAUAAGCUCAAAUUUUAAAUCUGCUAGGUUUUACCUAUCAGAGUUGUAAUUUGAAGAAGCGUUUUCCGCGUCUCGGUUGACCCAAAUCCUUUGGGAUAUGGUAUCAUGGAGGGUGAGAAUCCCGUCCGGUUGACUUUGUGACGCUUUACGAUACGUUUUCAAAGAGUCGAGUUGUUUGGGAUUGCAGCUCAAAAUGGGAGGUAAAUUUCUCCUAAGGCUAAAUAUUGGCGAGAGACCGAUAGCGAACAAGUACCGUGAGGGAAAGAUGAAAAGAACUUUGAAAAGAGAGUUAAACAGUACGUGAAAUUGUUGAAAGGGAAACGAUUAAAGCCAGUCGUACCGGCGGGUAAUCAGCCUUUUGGGUGUGAUUAUGUGGAACGUGAGGAGUUUAAUCGCCUUCAUGCCUGCAUAUUCGUGCACUUUGGGUGUACUUGCUCGUGUUGGUAGGUUAACAUCAAUUUCGAACAUCAUAAAAUGAUUGGGGGAAUGUAGCUUCGAUCUCGUGUUGAAGUGUUAUAGACUCUGGUAGAUGUGAUGAUCGGGAUUGAGGAUUGCAACGGAUACCCUUAUGGGCUACCCGUCUGAUCUCUGAGAGUUACUCUGGUGCCGAAAGCGUGCUUACGGUAUCAAAGUUGACGUUCAAUAGGUUAGAACGGGUUAAAUUCGUUAAGGAUGUUGACGUAAUGGCUUUAAACGACCCGUCUUGAAACACGGACCAAGGAGUCUAACAUAUGUGCGAGUGUUU